rnacentral:rRNA from 1 species
GACGAACGCUGGCGGCGUGCCUAAUACAUGCAAGUCGAGCGCAGGAAAUCGACGGAACCCUUCGGGGGGAAGUCGACGGAAUGAGCGGCGGACGGGUGAGUAACACGUAAAGAACCUGCCCUCAGGUCUGGGAUAACCACGAGAAAUCGGGGCUAAUACCGGAUGGGUCAUCGGACCGCAUGGUCCGAGGAUGAAAGGCGCUCCGGCGUCGCCUGGGGAUGGCUUUGCGGUGCAUUAGCUAGUUGGUGGGGUAAUGGCCUACCAAGGCGACGAUGCAUAGCCGACCUGAGAGGGUGAUCGGCCACACUGGGACUGGGACACAGCCCAGACUCCUACGGGAGGCAGCAGUAGGGAAUCUUCCACAAUGGACGAAAGUCUGAUGGAGCAACGCCGCGUGAACGAUGAAGGCCUUCGGGUCGUAAAGUUCUGUUGUAAGGGAAGAACAAGUGCCGCAGGCAAUGGCGGCACCUUGACGGUACCUUGCGAGAAAGCCACGGCUAACUACGUGCCAGCAGCCGCGGUAAGAC